rnacentral:lncRNA from 1 species
AGAUCAGGGCAUGUACAUUUUGUAGACUUAUUCCCAGAUGAGCCAUAACAAAUAGCUAAAGCAUACUUUCCACUGGUGGCAAAUUGCUCCUGGGAAACAUACUGAUUCACUUGUGGAUUAAAAACACAGCAGUUAGAAUCACUUUCAUAUAGGCUAACUUCACAGCUCUUGAUAGUGAAGAGAAAUUUUUUUUUUUUUUUUUAGCUUUCAAAAGAUUCAUAGAUGUCUCCCUAUUUCUUUGAACUGUCAUUAUGUUUAAAUGGGGUGAGAAAACUACCAAAAAUGUUUAAAUCAUGCGUUCCUGAUGCAAACAUCAGUAGUCUCUUGUCUUUUACUAACUACAUUUAAACAUACCAGAGAUGAAAUUGUUGGACUAUGAGAUUACAAUCCCUUUUGACGGGUUAAUAAUCUUGCUUAUUAAUAGAAACAAUUCAGACCAGAAUUCUACCUUGCAAUUUUGCUAUGGGAAGUGUAGGCAAGAUUUCACCAAGAACAAAACAAUCUCGCAAACCAAUUUGAAUGAUCUGAGAGCUGUGUUUGCUUAAUGUACAGUUUAGUAGUGGUAUCACGCUUUGGCUCUGUUGUCCUUUCUUUGAACUCAAGGGUAGGCUUGGGGGAUGUUAUUGGAACCACAUGCUUUCAUUCAGGUUGACGGUUUUCUUCAGAAGACAUAGUAGGGUCUUCAUGAUUUGUCUCAGGUUGCAAGUCAGCUGUCCAAUGAUGAAGAAUCAUCUAUAUGUUUCAGUGGGUUUAGGCUUAAAAAACACUCUCAAGAUAUUAAUUUGCCAUUGUUUUAGGUAUAAAAGUGAAAUAUUCCAAAACAUGAUAUGUUAAAGUUUACAGUGGAAAUAUUUUCAAAUACAACUAGGUGGUUGAAUUUUCAUAGUAUAAUGCUUUUUCUCAUUUUUAUCAUGGAAAAGCACAAAUAUUUUAAAUAUUUUUGUGUUUGUUUUUACCAAGGAAAAACCACUCGAAAAGCAAGAGGGCAGUUUGAUGUCUAAAAUGGAAAGGGUAAAUUGCUGCCCUAUCACAUAAGUGGCUUUUGUAGGUUGGAAGUGAAAAAUAUUUUUAAUUUAAAAGUGAAUUUGGAGAUCUGAGCAUGCUCACUGUACAUCACUUUAAAAUUAUUAAAGUAGUUUGAUUUAAUAGAGUGAAUCUUCUCAGGCUGAGGAGUACUUCACUUUGCACUGCAAAAGCUCAGAUGUUAGAACCCGAUCACUUCCCAGAUGAAGAGCUUAUAAAAAAAUGUGAAGUACUCUAAUAAUUUUAAAUUACUCUAUAUUGCACAUUUUCAGGUCUCUGAUCACCUCCAAAUUCAAGUGCUUAUAAAACUGCUCCCAUAAUUUUAAAUUGCUAUGUGCACAGUGAUUUAAAAUUGUGAGAGUGCUUCAAAGUUUUUUAAUAAGUGCUUUAAUUUAGAAGUGAGUUGAGCAAUACUCCAGUAUAACUUCAAGAAUUUAUUAAACCGAUAUAAAAAUUUAUCCUCUGGAAAGAAAAUUACAUUACGUAUAAAAGGGUGAGGCUCCAAAUGAAUAUAUAUGAGGAUCAAAGUACCAAAUGCUCAGGAACAAUCAGUAAAUGAAAUGAGAUCAUGGGGUCGUAGGUGGGGGGUUUGUUUGGUUAAUUUUGUUCACUGCUUGCCUGAGGCUAGCGUUCUUGAAAAUCUAACAGAAAGGGAAGGAAGGAAGAGAGAGCCUGGUGGGAGAGUUUAUCCCUAAGACAUCUUUCCCCACUUGUCAGUAAGGUAGCUCCUGGACCCGCCUGACUCCUGAAUUUCUCAUUUUUCAGAGGUAAACAUGGCACAUUUUAAAUUGUACUCAGGGAUGAGGGAAAUGGUUUUCAUUAAAAACAGAAUUCCUUUCAUAAACCAAUAGAUCUAGUCACCCUAGGAAAAGCAUGUAGAUUUGGUUUUCUGACCACGAUACCCCAUUAUUAUUACAAUGCAUGAGGUGAUUUGACCUUAAACGGGCUACCAUCCUACAUGGAUCUAGUCUUACACUACCUGCUUGGGGAAUAAAAUAUCUUGAGUUGUGCUAGCUGCGACCAGCUUUUCCAUGGCUUCUCCGGCUUAUUUUCCAUGCUGUUCAGGUAAACAUGGUGGUCCCCUUUGACUGAGUCACCGAUUUUGUCUGACUGCACCAGCUGAUGUGUCUGAAAUAUCAAACCGUUUGACAGGGACAUGAGGCCUCUCAUGUACUGAACUAGAAUUUUAUAAUGUCUUUGAUUAAGAACAUGAACUUGAAACACAGGAACCAUAAGGAUGUUCUUUUGUCCAGUCGUGAAAAGAUGGGGAUUUAUAAUGUAUGGUGAUUCUUUGCACAUUUUGUGAAACCCCCAUAGCCUUCCUUACAGGGAAAAAGGCAUUUACAGUUACUAAGUUGAAGAUGAAAUAAAAGUCAAUUGACUGCAUGUUUCAGCAGUUCCUACCUCAGAAUGGAAAAUUACAUACAUCAUUGGGUUCUAAAGUGUAAUAAAUGGGUGGAUGUUAGUUCUUGUUUCUCACUUUGCUAUAAAUAUUACUGUGCCUCAAAAUAUUUGAAGUAAUUCUCAUCUUCAUUUUUGCUGUAUGUAAAUAUUCUUGAAAAUGACUCUUAUCUUCCUAUAUUUUUUUAAAUAUAGGAGAUUAGUCUCUGUCUAUAACACAGGGAAACAAGACUUUCUGAAAUAUCCCGGAUACAUAUAUAAAGGACAGAAAGGUUGUAUGUGAGACCUUGAAAAGAAUGUGAUUUUUUUAUGACAAUUUAUCAUUUAUCCUGGAUCAACAUUUUCUAGCACUCUUCUAGCUUUGCUAAAGCAAAUUGUGUUUUAUGUCCCCAGCAGAAUACUCGAUAACUGGUCUGGCGAUGAUGAGGCAUAAUAGGAGUUAUCUGGUCCCAGGAAAGUCAUUGGUUUGCGUUCACUGCCAGAGUCUGGUUAUCAUUGCAGGGCAGGAUUAUCUCAUUGUUUUCUGCUGCCAUGAUUUUGUUUUGACUUCUCAAAUCUCCACAGAACACUCAUUUAGAAAACCCUCCACAGUGGUUUGUUCUUACUGGGGAAACGAAGGCAGUGGGGAGGGAAGGACAGAAGGAUUUUCUUUCUUUUUCUGAGUCCGUCCUGGGCAGAGAGUAAGAUGCAGUUUUUUCUUAGCGUUGUCAGUGCAAGCCUAGCCCUUUCACUGCCCAGUUUAUUACUCCUAUGCAUCGCCUUAAGAUAUUGCUCCAAAGAUCAAUACCCUGAUUUCCUUUCCAUCUGCCUAGACUAAGAUAAUUAGGCUCUUUACUUCAUUUUGUAUGUAAUGAAGGCGGCAACUCGUGAUAGUAGAGGAAAAAAGCUAUCUCCCUAUGGUAAAUGUAUUGACAUUUACAGAUACCAGCGGAGCACAACAUGAGGAGAGUAAUGAGAAAUUUCACUGCUUUCCCCUCUUUCUCUGUUUCCUGUUUUAGAGCUGGCUAGAUCCCACAGCGAAUCACUAGCUGCAAAGAGAAGGGACGGCUUAGGGACCGACAAUUGAGAGCAUUUACAAUUAGCUGCAUUGAUUAACCUUUACAAAUGCUGUUACUUUAUGAGGUGUUUUUCUCAGCCCUGGUUGAACAGUAUGCGUUAUUGAUUCAACAUACUCCUUUACGAAAGCCCUGAUUUGUCCGUGACUCCACCAGUCAUAAUGCCUGCCUUGGUAGUCGUUUCUGCAUGUUCUCGGGAAAACUUGACACGGAAGACUGAUUGGCAUUAUGUAAAUGGGGUCCACAUCUUCCUUUAGGAAGGGUGUACAGCCGGCAGAAACCAGGGCGUAGACCUGCCUCCCUUCAUCCCCAUCGCCAGGCGCAGACACAAAGGAUGCCAGCCUCGCGCCAGCCGCUUACUGCUGCCCAAUUCACAGCAUCACUCCUAAUAAGCGGCCUGCAGGAGGAAAAGAGCCUCAGACACUCCUCCAUCUCCUCUGUAUUCCCUGGUUUUUAUUUAGGUUUCCUGAAAUAAUUUGGAGUGUGUGUGCAUGCGUGUGUGUAUGUGUGAAAGAGAGAGAGAGGGAGGGAGAGAGAGUUUGUGUAAGGGAAAGGGGUGGUGGGAAAUUGUCCAAAAAAUUGUUUUUAGCUUAAUUUUCUUCGAAGAUUGUAGACCGACUUUGAUUGCCACUUUGGCUGGUGAUUCCAAAAUCUAUGGUGGAAGGCAUUUUCCUUUCAUCAGUUUGAUUCAAAGAAGCUCAGUGCUUAGAAAUAAUAAAUAUCACCUAGAAAUGGCUGCCUUCCACCCCUCCUGCCCCAUAGAACUAUAUGAAUAUAAAUUGAAUACUAUUUUCUUUUUCUUCCUCUCUUGCUUCCCUCUCUCCCCAUUUCUUCCUUUGAGCCUUCCCUUAUUCUUCAUUUCAAGGUGUACAUUAGUAUCAUCUGAAAGAUAAAAGGACUAAAAGCUUGAAAUACUACAGAGUAAAUCCAUCAGCUGUUCCGUCAGGAUUCCUAAAAUGUAUUCUGCACCCAAGACCAGUUAUAUGAUAUGCAGGGUGCAGUGCAAAAUAAAGAUGCAGGGCCCCUUGUUCAUAAAUUAUUAAAAAUUUCUAAACAGUAACAGCAGAGUGUUAAACCCAGCUCUGUUCCUCUAAGAAUGAGGCUUGUGUGAUUGCACAGAUCACACACCCAGGAAGUAGGCCCUGCCAUCAUCUUUGCCAACAGUUAUUUCUGAAAAGAUAGUAGGAGACAGGGGCCUGGGUGGGGGGAGGGUAGUAUUUGUUUUCUUUCCCAACUCGAGUUUAAACUUCUCUAUUGUGAGACUCAUUUUUUCUGGAUCAUGCCAAAUUGCAUAUGCUCCUUUAUGACUUGAAAUGCCACUUAGUUGGGUUUGAACUGAGAGCACCGCCUUUAUGCCCAUCUUCUGCAUAGCAGAUUCCAGCGACUUGAAGCACUUUUUCCAUGCCAAAAUUCUGAGACUGGAGUAUUUGUCACUUUGCGCUUCCAGGAACGGCUGAAAAAAGUUUAUUUUGCUUUAUGUGAUUAAACUGAAUGUUUGGCUUGAUGCAAAUGCAUAUACAUGUGCAUUUAUUCUAAUAUACAUGUCCAAACACAUGGGAUUUUUUUUUCCCGUACAUAUAUGUGCAUAACAGAAUUGAGUUUAUGGUUUUCCAAGACACAGCUGAACAAUGAUGGAAGACAGCCAUUUUUUUUUUUUAAUGAAGAGUUGAUGCAUUUUUAAAGGAAAAAAAUCAGGAAGCUGCUCUAACAGACUCUGCAGCAUUCACAGCAUGACAAACAAAUUAGAAAACAGCAGAUGCAGCACAAAUUAAGAUGUAUUUAGCACAGCAGCCCAUCAGAUGUGUGAACGUCUUUUGUAACUCAGCUUUGCAAGGUUGAUGUAUUGCACUUUAGACAGCUGAUAAUGAACCCUCCUAGCAAUUAGAAGUGGAAAUACUGAGGAGUCAAAAUUGUGCUGUUCCCAGUGGGC